GAUGAAGAACGCAGCGAAAUGCGAUAAGUAAUGCGAAUUGCAGAAUUCCAGUGAGUCAUCGAAUCUUUGAACGCACAUUGCGCCCUUUGGUAUUCCGAAGGGCAUGCCUGUUCGAGCGUCAUUAUCACCCCUCAAGCCCUCGGCUUGGUGUUGGACGGUUUGGUGGAGGCCCCCUCGGGGGCUCCUGCCCCUCCCAAAGACAAUGACGGCGGCCUCGUUGGACCCCCGGUACACUGAGUUCUUCACGGGACACGUAUCGGACACAUGGGUUUACGGGACACGGUCUGCCUCCCCUCAGGGAGAAUCUUUCUAAGGUUGACCUCGGAUCAGGUAGGGAUACCCGCUGAACUUAAGCAUAUCAAUAAGCGGA
rnacentral:misc_RNA from 1 species